rnacentral:rRNA from 1 species
CGGGGUGCACCAGGCGCGAAAACUCCACAAUGUACGGAAGUACGAUGGGGUUAUCUCGAGUGCAGUCCGAUAAGGGCUGCUUUUCCAUAGAGUAAUAUCCUGUGGGAAUAAGAGGGGGGCAAGACUGGUGUCAGCCGCCGCGGUAACACCAGCCCCUCGAGUGGUGGGGACUAUUAUUUGGCCUAAAGCGUCCGUAGCUGGCUGUGUCCGUCCCCCGUUAAAUCCAGCGUCCUAAGCGUUGGACCGCGGGUGAUACCAUACAGCUAGAGGGUGGGAUAGGUGAGCGGUAUUUCUGGGGUAGGGGCGAAAUCCUUUGAUCCCAGGAGGACCACCAGUGGCGAAGGCUGCUCACUAGAACACGCCUGACGGUCAGGGACGAAAGCUGGGGCAGCGAACCGGAUUAGACACCCGGGUAGUCCCAGCUGUAAACGAUGCUAGCUAGGUGUUGGGUCGGCCACGCGCCGCCCCAGUGCCGCAGGGAAGCCGUUAAGCUAGCCGCCUGGGGAGUACGGCCGCAAGGCUGAAACUUAAAGGAAUUGGCGGGGGAGCAC